UACGUAGGGUGCGAGCGUUGUCCGGAAUUACUGGGCGUAAAGAGCUCGUAGGUGGUUUGUCGCGUUGUCCGUGAAAACUCACAACUCAAUUGUGGGCGUGCGGGCGAUACGGGCAGACUGGAGUACUGCAGGGGAGACUGGAAUUCCUGGUGUAGCGGUGGAAUGCGCAGAUAUCAGGAGGAACACCGGUGGCGAAGGCGGAUCUCUGGGCCUUACCUGACGCUGGAGGCGCGAAAGCGUGGGGAGCGAACAGG
rnacentral:rRNA from 1 species